UAAACAAAAAGGGCACAAUGCAGAAAAAUACCUUUUUAAAGUGUUUUAGGCGCAACUGCCCCUUAAUCAAAGGUAUAUUGGUAUCCAUCCAUGGCAGGGUAAGAAAGAUCAUCGAAUGAGUGGCUUUCCAAACUAAACCUGAAUGGUCACUCCACAUUCUGAUUACUUGUUGGGGUGCAUCAUUUGUUCUUGCACUAGAGAUUAUUAUUAUUAUGGUAUUUAUUUAGCGCCAUCAAAUUCCGCAGCGCUUUACAAUGGGUGGACGAACAGACAUGUAGUUGUAACCAGACAAGUUGGACACACAGGAACAGAGGGUUUGAGGGCCCUGCUCAAUGAGCUAACAUGCUAGAGGGAGUGGGGUAAAAU